CUGCAUAUUUUUUUAGGUCUUUAUGUUUGAAAUGUGGCAUUUUUAUUAACUUGGGUUUACAGGAAAGUGAAUAUCACAAUGUAAACAAAUGACAGUGGUGAUGUGAUGGUUGGCUAUAGUCUGUUUUUCUCUGUGAAUUUUCUCUGCAACUCAAUUGAAAUAUUUUUAUGCUUCAUUUCCUGUGCUUCUACACUGCAAGUUAUGAUAACCCAACUACUGGAUUUGCAUCGGUUCUCCCGUAAUUAACAGGAGGCUAAACUGAAACACAAGGACUCCUGGCAGGGGUUUUGGCUUACUACUAAUCCAAAUCAAUCCGUGCCUUAUGCGCUGUGGCUUUAACCCCUUAAAACAAACAUUUGCUUUGCAUAGAGACACAGUUUUAACAAAACACUCUGAGCCGAUGUUGCUGACAAGGUUGUCCCAGGUAAUGGCAUUUAACUGUCAACCUCAGACCUACAUUUUCAAAUGUUAAGCUAAAAUCCAGAGCUGAGAAACCGAUCAGACUUUAUGUGAUCAGCCUCACUAUUUGGAUGCCAGCCGUCUCAGCUAGCAUGUUUGUGUUGGGAGCAUUUUCCAUGCAGCCAAGAACUGGUGCACAGAUGCCAACAAUCUGAGACAACUUUCAACACUAUCGAAGUCAGCUGUCACAACCACAGCGGCACACAAACACGCAUUCCUGUGUGUUUCCAUUCCAGUGAGUGUGUCCACAUGGAAAAAUAAAAGGGUGUGACUUCUCUGAGAUAUAAGGCUGCUACAGAGUUUGAACGAACACACUGCAGUGCAAUUUUAUUGAUGUCCUAAUGGACAUGUAAAUUGCUAACAGUGUUGUGCAGCACCAACAAUUGAUGGUCUGUUCGUUUAGCCAUGAUAGAAUUUGCACUAGGCCACUGACAAAGCAUCCCUCUUGUCCUUUCUAGAGAGUAUAAUCAUAAUUGAUUGCCGUGUUUGCUUAGGCUCUUUCAGUUGGCCAUAUUGACUCUUGCCUUAAGCAUAAAACACAUUUCCAACUGCAAUAAUCAAGAGUGGAAAGCAU
ensembl:lncRNA